GACGAACGCUGGCGGCGUGCCUAAUACAUGCAAGUCGAACGCAGUGGGGACGGGUGCGUAACACGUGGGUAACCUCCCAUCAGAGGGGAUAACAAUUGGAAACAGGUGCUAAACCGAUACUGAUGGAUGGACCCGCGGUGCAAGAGCGAGUUGGUGGGGUAACGGCUCCCCAAGGCCACGAUGCAUAGCCGACCUGAGAGGGUGAGCGGCCACACUGGGACUGAGACACGGCCCAGACUCCUACGGGAGGCAGCAGUAGGGAAUCUUGCGCAAUGGGCGAAAGUCUGACCGAGCAACGCCGCGUGAGUGAAGAAGGUUUUCGGAUCGUAAAACUCUUUUGUUAGAGAAGCGGUAUCUAACCAGAAAGCCACGGCUAACUACGUGCCAGCAGCCGCGGUAAUAC
rnacentral:rRNA from 1 species